GCUCCUGCAGGCCAGACAGACAGGGGUGUGGGUGCCUUGGGGGAGACCACCCAGAGUCCAGGCGGCAGCCUUCCCCACCAAAGGCCUGGCCAUCAGGCAGCAUCACACCUGGUACGUCCCCUGGCCAACUCCAGCAGGAUAAGUUGCUAGAAAAGGAAGAACUAUGUCAAAGAGAGGAGCCACUACUUUCAGGAGGAAAAAACUCCCGCCGACCAGGAGCCGCAGUGAUGACCUCAGGGUUAUGAGAAAUGAGAGGAGAAACAGGAAGGAAAUAAACACGGAAAUGCCACAAGGGAGAAGGAUGACCACCCCGCCGGACCCUACAUCCUGCACACAGAACACACGCCCUCAGCCACACACGCUGAGCGCCUGCUGUGUGCCAGGCCCUGGGGGAUUUGGACCUGCCCUCCAGGAAGCUGGGCAUGCGCCUCCUCCCCACACACACACCCACCUUCCACGUCACACUCCCUCCACACCCUUCCGCCUUGACGCCUCCCCCUCCAUCUGCAGGGGGUCUGUCCCUCCCUCUGCCUGAAAACAUGUCACCCACUUUCCAAGGCCCACCUCAAAGUUUCCUCCCCCAGGAAGCCUUCCUGGUUUGCUCCUGCCCAGGUCCCUCCCUUCCUGCCUGUGCUGAACAGCCCAGCACUUGGGCUGCGUGGAUCAUUUCCUAAUUGUUGCAUGGACAAUAAUAAUAAUAAUAACA